rnacentral:rRNA from 1 species
GACGAACGCUGGCGGCGUGCUUAACACAUGCAAGUCGAGCGGUAAGGCCCUUUCGGGGGUACACGAGCGGCGAACGGGUGAGUAACACGUGGGUGACCUGCCCUCAGCUCUGGGAUAAGCCUGGGAAACCGGGUCUAAUACUGGAUAUGACUCCAUGACGCAUGUUGUGGGGUGGAAAGCCUUGUGCGGCUGAGGAUGGGCCCGCGGCCUAUCAGCUUGUUGGUGGGGUGANGGCCUACCAAGGCGACGACGGGUAGCCGGCCUGAGAGGGCGACCGGCCACACUGGGACUGAGACACGGCCCAGACUCCUACGGGAGGCAGCAGUGGGGAAUCUUGCGCAAUGGGCGAAAGCCUGACGCAGCGACGCCGCGCGAGGGAUGACGGCCCUGG